UACGUAGGGUGCAAGCGUUUGUCCGGAAUUAUUGGGCGUAAAGAGCUCGUAGGCGGUCUGUCGCGUCUGCUGUGAAAACUCAGGGCUUAACCCUGAGCUUGCAGUGGGUACGGGCAGACUAGAGUGCGGUAGGGGAGACUGGAAUUCCUGGUGUAGCGGUGAAAUGCGCAGAUAUCGGGAGGAACACCAGUGGCGAAGGCGGCUUUCUGGCCUGUUCUUGACGCUGA
rnacentral:rRNA from 1 species